GCCGGGAUGGCGGAAAUGGCAGACGCGCCAGCUUGAGGGGCUGGUGGAAGCAAUUCCGUAGGGGUUCAAAUCCCCUUCCCGGCA
rfam:Candidatus Omnitrophica bacterium CG1_02_41_171 cg1_0.2_scaffold_2875_c, whole genome shotgun sequence.